rnacentral:rRNA from 1 species
CCUACGGGGUGCAGCAGUGAGGAAUAUUGGUCAAUGGGCGUAAGCCUGAACCAGCCAAGUCGCGUGAGGGAUGAAGGUUCUAUGGAUCGUAAACCUCUUUUAUAAGGGAAUAAAGUGUGGGACGUGUCCUGUUUUGUAUGUACCUUAUGAAUAAGGAUCGGCUAACUCCGUGCCAGCAGCCGCGGUAAUACGGAGGAUCCGAGCGUUAUCCGGAUUUAUUGGGUUUAAAGGGUGCGUAGGCGGCCUUUUAAGUCAGCGGUGAAAGUCUGUGGCUCAACCAUAGAAUUGCCGUUGAAACUGGGAGGCUUGAGUAUGUUUGAGGCAGGCGGAAGGCGUGGUGUAGCGGUGAAAUGCUUAGAUAUAACGCAGAACCCCGAUUGCGAAGGCAGCCUGCCAAGCCAUGACUGACGCUGAUGCACGAAAGCGUGGGGAUCAAACAGGAUUAGAUACCCGGGUAGUC